UUAACAUUAUCUUAAAUCAACAGCCAAAACAGUUCUUUUCAGAGCUCUUAACGCUACGAAGUUAUUCUGAUUGUAUCGCUGUAGGAAGAUGGUGUUCACACCAGAGCAAGAUGCUUUUAUUUUAAUGGCACAUUUCCGCAGUGGUAACCGAAAUCCUGAUGGAACUUGGAGUAUUCACUGCAAUCGUGCAUUGAACAGUUUUCCGAAGAGAACCCUGAUGUUAAUAUCGACUACGAUGUAUUUAAGAACCACAGGUCACGUCUAAUAACACGAUAUGAAAACAAGCACUGCAUUUGCAAAGGGAAGUCAACAGGCAGACCGCUAACGAAACGCUUAGAUACCUCCAAGAAUUUUAUGGCGAUCGAAUUAUAAGCACUGGUUUGUGGCCUCCAAGAAGUCCUGAUCUCACACCAUUGGACUACUUUUUGUUUGGACGAAUUAAAAAUAAUAUAUUUAAAAAUCGACUGCACACACUCAAAGAAUUGGAAAGGGCGAUACGACAAGAAAUAAACGAUGUGACGCAAGAUGAACUCGAACGUGUAUUUGAAAAUAUGAAGCGUAGAGUGAAUUUGUGCCUGGAAGUGAACGGUGGCCACUUUGAGCACCUUUUGUAACAAUAAAUAGUACAAUAUA